GACGAACGCUGGCGGCGUGCUUAACACAUGCCAGUCGUACGGUAAGGCCCUUUCGGGGGUACACGAGUGGCGAACGGGUGAGUAACACGUGAGUAACCUGCCCACAACUUUGGGAUAACGCUAGGAAACUGGUGCUAAUACUGGAUAUGUGCUCCUGCUGCAUGGUGGGGGUUGGAAAGCUCCGGCGGUUGUGGAUGGAGUCGCGGCCUAUCAGCUUGUUGGUGGGGUAGUGGCCUACCAAGGCGGCGACGGGUAGCCGGCCUGAGAGGGUGACCGGCCACAUUGGGACUGAGAUACGGCCCAGACUCCUACGGGAGGCAGCAGUGGGGAAUAUUGCACAAUGGGCGCAAGCCUGAUGCAGCAACGCCGCGUGCGGGAUGACGGCCUUCGGGUUGUAAACCGCUUUCAGCAGGGACGAAGCUUUUUGUGACGGUACCUGCAGAAGAAGCACCGGCUAACUACGUG
rnacentral:rRNA from 1 species